ACGCCCUGCGCCUCCUUCUCCGUGAUGCCCUCGUCACCUCCGGCUGCCAGAUUUGCGCUGCUCCUACGCUCCGCACAUGGAUCCGCGCGCAGCGAGACCCAGGCGCAUGCGGGAGCAGGGGUCCGACGAACGCAUCAAAUCCUUCGCACCCAUCGACUUUGCCCCCAACAUCCCUGCCGAGCUCUUCCUCCAGCGCUCCACCGUUGAUAGCAUCGUCGGUGGUGGCGCGGCUCCGACGCCCCCAAUGCCACUGUGGAAGGCCGUCGCGCUCCUCCCCCAACGAGCUGCGCAACUACAACUGGGUUCAAUUCAAGGUCCAAGUUCAGAUCUUUUGUGUUCCGUCCCCAACGCACAAACGGCCAGGGCAACAAGAACAGCGACGGUGCCGGAAGGGGUCUGGAUUGAGCUCUCUUGAUGCAAUUACUCUCAUCCUUCAUGCAGUUUCACUUGAUGACGAUGGAGCCAAGGAAGCAACAUCCGAGCAUCAGUCAUUUGCCAAAUUCAUCGCAGUAAGGUGCUUCCACAAUUGAGAUGGAGUACACGCCUGGAUGGAUUGUUUGAGCAAUGUAGCAAGCACAACAUUAUGAGGGCCAAGGUCUUGCUCAGGUUGUCAUCCGGGAGCAGGCCUUCGGCACUGACACUAUAACCAUCGAGGCACCCACCACCGAAGAAACAUGAGAUCAAUUUAUGUAAGCUCAGUUAUCUUGAGAAAAUGGAUCUGGGUAGCCAAAGAUUUUUUUCCAUCAAUUGUCAUAUAUCAAGUUAGACUUCCUAAUAUUUAUUUUUCCCCUGCAGUUUGGGUUCUCUCAUAUUUUUCAUGUGAGAUUUGCGCUAGAUUUAACUUUUGGGGUAAAAUUCUCACUUGAUCUGGGUUGUUCAUGUAUUCAGUUUGUGCAUUAAUUACUAGCUGCAGCAAAAGGAGUGGUUCUAUUCUUUUAAGCCUCUAUAUUAUCCUAGGUAUGGAAGAUUCAUAUUAUUACUUGUGAAGUAUAUGUGUUGCUUUAAGGGGGUCUUCUAUUUACUGGCUAUGCUCUGUUCUUUGGAGUUGCCAUCCUUGAAUGGUUUCCUUAUGAUAAAAAACAAAUGGUGGUCUGAAUCAACAAUGACUUCCUGUAAGUUCCAGCAUUAUUAAUUUUUGAACAGUAUAUAUGGUCAUGUUCAUAAUUUCUACACCUGGUAGGUAUGUUCAUAAUUUUUUGAAGAUUGAGAGUUGGCUCAGUUCAAGGUAGGUGUCAUGUGUUUUCCAGUCAGUAGUAUUGUGAGUUUCUUGAUUAUUUGUGUACACUUGAAUAAAAUGAUCAUGCAGGCCCACCUUAUAUAAUGGAGGCAGCAUGGUUCACGUGUGAACCUUUUUUUAUAUUAGUAUGGAAGAAAAUUGCCAACUGCUUUAGGAACAUUUGAAGCCUAAACUUUGAACUGGAACAAAAAAAAAUGUUUGCCUAUGCUGAAAUAUGAAGCCAUGUCGGGAGUCAAAUAUGACAUCUGUUAUUGUCAAAGCCUAUAGAUAUAUUUAGCUUGAAUGGCGAGUUAUGCAAUUGUGGAACACUUAUCAUUUUGCUAAGAAUCAAGUGCUCUUUAAAAGUCUAGCAGUGUGCUGUAUUGAACCCGCCUAGCCUUCAAUUAUGUGAAGGCUAUCGCCAAUGAACACCUCCCUUAUGCUGUA